rnacentral:rRNA from 1 species
UAGGGAAUCUUGGACAAUGGGCGAAAGCCUGAUCCAGCCAUGCCGCGUGAGUGAUGAAGGCCCUAGGGUUGUAAAACUCUUUCGCCAGGGAAGAUAAUGACGGUACCUGGUAAAGAAACCCCGGCUAACUCCGUGCCAGCAGCCGCGGUAAUACGGAGGGGGUUAGCGUUGUUCGGAAUUACUGGGCGUAAAGCGCACGUAGGCGGACUAGUCAGUCAGAGGUGAAAUCCCGAGGCUCAACCUCGGAACUGCCUUUGAUACUGCUAGUCUAGAGUUCGAGAGAGGUGAGUGGAAUUCCGAGUGUAGAGGUGAAAUUCGUAGAUAUUCGGAGGAACACCAGUGGCGAAGGCGGCUCACUGGAUCGAUACUGACGCUGAGGUGCGAAAGCGUGGGGAGCAAACAGG